GGGAGGAAGGUUAAUGGUCUCUGUUCCCUCCAAACAGGCCGUUGUUGCUGAGGAUGAAGAAGAUACGAAGAGAGUUGUCCGAAGUGCCAAGGACAAGAGGUUUGAGGAGCUUACCAACCUUAUCCGGACCAUCUGUAAUGCCAUGGAGAUUCGGGAUGUCACCAAGUGCCUG